rnacentral:tRNA from 1 species
GCCUAGGUAGCUCAGUUGGUAGAGCAGCUGAUUUGUAAUCAGCCGGUCGUAGGUUCGAGUCCUAUCCUAGGCUCCA